AUUGAACGCUGGCGGCGUGCUUAACACAUGCAAGUCGUGCGGUAACAGGCGUAGCAAUACGUGCUGACGAGCGGCGAACGGGUGCGUAAUACAUGGGAAUCUGCCUUUUAGUGGGGAAUAACCCGGCGAAAGCCGGGCUAAUGCCGCAUAAGAUCUUCGGAUGAAAGCGGGGGAUCGUAAGACCUCGCGCUGAUAGAUGAGCCCAUGCCGGAUUAGCUAGUUGGGAGGUAACGGCUCACCAAGGCGACGAUCCGUAGCUGGUCUGAGAGGACGGCCAGCCACACUGGGACUGAGACACGGCCCAGACUCCUACGGGAGGCAGCAGUGGGGAAUAUUGGACAAUGGGGGAAACCCUGAUCCAGCGACGCCGCGUGUGUGAAGAAGGCCUGCGGGUUGUAAACCUCUUUCAGCCCUGACGAAGCGAGAGUGACGGGUAGGGGC
rnacentral:rRNA from 1 species